rnacentral:rRNA from 1 species
UACGUAGGGGCAAGCGUUGUCCGGAUUUAUUGGGCGUAAAGCGCACGCAGGCGGUCUUGUAAGUUUCGAGUGACAGGUGGUGGCUUAACUGCCACAGGCCUUGGAAAACUGCAAGACUUGAGGGCGAAAGAGGGACGCGGAAUUCCAGGUGGAGCGGUGAAAUGCGUAGAGAUCUGGAGAACACCGGUGGCGAAGGCGGCAUCCUGGACCGACACUGACGCUGAGGAGCGAAAGCCAGGGGAGGCAAACGGG